GAUGAACGCUGGCGGCGUGCCUAAUACAUGCAAGUCGAGCGAACAGACGAGGAGCUUGCUCCUUUGACGUUAGCGGCGGGCGGGUGAGUAACACGUAGGUAACCUACCUAUAAGACUGGGAUAACUUCGGGAAACCGGAGCUAAUACCGGAUAAUAUUUCGAACCGCAUGGUUCGAUAGUGAAAGAUGGCUUUGCUAUCACUUAUAGAUGGACCUGCGCCGUAUUAGCUAGUUGGUAAGGUAACGGCUUACCAAGGCAACGAUACGUAGCCGACCUGAGAGGGUGAUCGGCCACACUGGAACUGAGACACGGUCCAGACUCCUAUGGGAGGCAGCAGUAGGGAAUCUUCCGCAAUGGGCGAAAGCCUGACGGAGCAACGCCGCGUGAGUGAUGAAGGUCUUCGGAUCGUAAAACUCUGUUAUUAGGGAAGAACAAACGUGUAAGUAACUGUGCACGUCUUGACGGUACCUAAUCAGAAAGCCACGGCUAACUACGUG
rnacentral:rRNA from 1 species